rnacentral:rRNA from 1 species
ACCGAUAACGAACGAAGACCUUAACCUGCUAAAUAAGCCAGGCCGGCUUCCGCCUGGUCGCCGGCUUCUUAGAGGGACUGUCAGCGUCUAGCUGACGGAAGUUUGAGGCAAUAACAGGUCUGUGAUGCCCUUAGAUGUUCUGGGCCGCACGCGCGCUACACUGACAGAGCCAGCGAGUUUUUCACCUUGGCCGGAAGGUCUGGGUAAUCUUGUGAAACUCUGUCGUGCUGGGGAUAGGGCAUUGCAAUC